GCCAUACAGUUUUAAAACACCAGUUCCUGUACGAUCACCAAAGUUAAGCAACAUUGAACCUGGUCAGUAUCUAAAUGGGUGACCACUUGGGAAUAUUCAAUGCUGCAAG